GAGAGAGAUGGCUAUGCCAAAAGUUACAAAUAUUGUGAUGAAGAAGUCGAUAGUGCACAAUGAAAUGUUGGUCUAUGGUAAUUUGUGGUUAUGUGAAGUGGAGGUUGUGGUGGUUUUGGCUUUUGAUAAUAUCAAGAAUGAUUUUUUCCUUGGUUGAUUGAUUUUGAGUGGGGUUGAAAAUAUCAAGGUUCUUUAGUUGGAUUCAAAUAUGAUGAUGGGAUUGUCCUUGACAAAAGGUAGUUAUAGUUUGGUGAAUAAUUGUCAAAUGCCACCAAGAGUGUAGGUAGGGGAGUUGCCAAUGGUUGCCAUUUAGUAAUGGCUAUUUACCAAAAAUGAUAUAAUUUUGGUAUAGGGGAGAAGGAAUGAAAGAAAAUGAAAGGGAAGAAAGAAGAAAGAGGAGAGAGGGAACAAGGGAGGAGAAGAAAGAGACAAGAAUAUGGAUGGACCUAGAGGAAAAAGAAGAAGAGGAGGAAAAAAAAGAUGAUUCAAGUAGUGUUAGUGGAAAAUACCCAUGAACACAUGCACACACAUUAGAAAAUAGAGGGAGAGAAAAAUAAAUACAAGAAUUUUACAUGGUACGGCAAGUGUGCCUCUAUUUAUGGAUAGCUGCAUACUUUUUCCACUGCUGAAAGAAGAAUAUUAUAGCCAUUGGUAGAUUCAGACGAGUUAUUUCUAGGGUCAACAUAUGAAAUAUAAAUAAUACAAUACUAUUAAAAACAUAAAAAUGAAUAUUAAUAUCUUAUGUUUGGACUUGAUGAGGUCUAAUGCGUUAAAAACUAUUAAGAUUUACAUAAUUGUUAAUGCUAUUAAAUACAUCUCUCUAUAUACGUUGAAAAAUACUUUUAUACUUUUAUUUAAUUUUAACUUUUAC
rnacentral:misc_RNA from 1 species